UACGAAGGGGGCUAGCGUUGCUCGGAAUUACUGGGCGUAAAGCGCACGUAGGCGGCUUCUUAAGUCGGAGGUGAAAUCCUGGAGCUCAACUCCAGAACUGCCUUCGAUACUGGGAAGCUCGAGUCCGGGAGAGGUGAGUGGAACUGCGAGUGUAGAGGUGAAAUUCGUAGAUAUUCGCAAGAACACCAGUGGCGAAGGCGGUUCUCUGGGCCUGUACUGACGCUGAGGAGCGAAAGCGUGGGGAGCGAACAGG
rnacentral:rRNA from 1 species